rnacentral:rRNA from 1 species
CGCUGGCGGCGUGCCUAAUACAUGCAAGUCGAGCGGAGUUAGAGAAGCUUGCUUCUCUUAAUUUAGCGGCGGACGGGUGGAGUAACACGUGGGCAAUCUGCCCGUAAGACUGGGAUAACUCCGGGAAACCGGGGCUAAUACCGGAUAAUACUGACUCUCUCCUGAGAGUCAGUUGAAAGAUGGUUUCGGCUAUCACUUACGGAUGAGCCCGCGGCGCAUUAGCUAGUUGGUAGGGUAAUGGCCUACCAAGGCGACGAUGCGUAGCCGACCUGAGAGGGUGAUCGGCCACACUGGGACUGAGACACGGCCCAGACUCCUACGGGAGGCAGCAGUAGGGAAUCUUCCGCAAUGGACGAAAGUCUGACGGAGCAACGCCGCGUGAGUGAAGAAGGUUUUCGAAUCGUAAAACUCUGUUGUUAGGGAAGAACACGUACGAGAGUAACUGCUCGUACCUUGACGGUACCUAACCAGAAAGCCACGGCUAACUACGUG